UACGUAGGGUGCAAGCGUUGUCCGGAUUUAUUGGGCGUAAAGCGCGCGUAGGCGGUCUGUCGCGUCGGUCGUGAAAACUUGGGGCUUAACCCUGAGCUUGCGGUCGAUACGGGCAUGACUGGAGUUCGGCAGGGGAGACUGGAAUUCCUGGUGUAGCGGUGAAAUGCGCAGAUAUCAGGAGGAACACCGGUGGCGAAGGCGGGUCUCUGGGCCGAUACUGACGCUGAGGAGCGAAAGCGUGGGGAGCGAACAGG
rnacentral:rRNA from 1 species